GAGAAGAACGCAGCGAAAUGCGAUAAGUAGUGUGAAUUGCAGAAUUCAGUGAAUCAUCGAAUCUUUGAACGCACAUUGCGCCCCUUGGUAUCCCGAGGGGCAUGCCUGUUCGAGCGUCAUUUCACCACUCAAGCCUGGCUUGGUGUUGGGCGACGUCCCCUUUGGGGACGCGCCUCGAAACGCUCGGCGGCGUGGCACCGGCUUUAAGCGUAGCAGAAUCUUUCGCUUUGGAAGUCGGGGCCCCGUCUGCCGGAAGACCUACUCGCAAGGUUGACCUCGGAUCAGGCAGGGAUACCCGCUGAACUUAAGCAUAUCAAUAAGCGGAGGA
rnacentral:misc_RNA from 1 species